GUUUCUGGUUUGUUGGGGCGUGUGUAUGUGUAUUUGGGGGGACUGAAGGGUACGUGGGGCGAAACAAAACCGGCCAUGGCAGCAGCGGAGGAGGAGGACGGGGGCCCCGAAGGGCCAAAUCGCGAGCGGGGCGGGGCGGGCGCGACCUUCGAAUGUAAUAUAUGUUUGGAGACUGCUCGGGAAGCUGUGGUCAGUGUGUGUGGCCACCUGUACUGUUGGCCAUGUCUUCAUCAGUGGCUGGAGACACGGCCAGAACGGCAAGAGUGUCCAGUAUGUAAAGCUGGGAUCAGCAGAGAGAAGGUUGUCCCGCUUUAUGGGCGAGGGAGCCAGAAGCCCCAGGAUCCCAGGUGAGAGACU
rnacentral:ncRNA from 2 species